ensembl:lncRNA
CUUAAAUAUUUGUGGUAUCAUAAAUACGCUCUUCUAGUGUGUGCACUAAUAGGUCUCUGGAAUACAUCUGGUGUUGGUGGCUCCGGACCCUAAGGCUUGGAGCAAGCACUCAUUCAUCAACAGAGAGCCUCCACGUGCCAACUGACAGCAUCCACAGCGAGUAGAGAAAAACAGCAUGACUGAACACUGCAGCCCAAUGGCUCACCCAGCACCCUGCCUGCUGCAAAGGAUGUGCUGAGGCAAGAGGCAACUCAGAGACAUCAAAAAACUUAGGUAAAAAAAUACACACACACACACACACACACUACUAUGACAAUAACCCACCUCACCUCAGCUGAGGACAGUUUAAUGCAAAAGAACAGUUGCUCAAAUACUUUUUGAGGGGGAUAUCAUUCAAGUUCUGGGAAAUAGCUGCCUUUCCAUCUUACUAGGCCUAGGAUAGCUGUUGGUUCAAUUCAGAGGCUGAGAUCAGAGAGCUUUCAUUUAUGAGUGCUGUGCCAUGGAGAGAAUCCUCCAGAUAGGACACUUCAAUAUCCUUGUUCUGCUUCGAGCAUAUAAAAGAAUUCACAAGAAUUACCUUAGUGUGGACUUCUAUCUCACUGGUGAUCUAACUGCUGUGACCUUGUUGCUGAACACUACUCUUACUGCAUGCAACCUACUUCUUUCCUGGGAGCCUGCUGUCAGCCAUGGAUUUCAACUUCCCAAUUAGCAAAUUUAGACUUAAUUUUUUUUUCCCCCUCUGAUGCCAUCUAAAAUAACCCCUGAUUAAAAGGAAUCACAUUCUGGUAUUGAUUAUCCACGCAGCUUGCAACUAGCAUUACAAUUUUGUUUUGUUGUUUUCAUUGUAUGCCUGACCUCUACAUUUGGAGGCUCACAACACUUCAUACUUGACCUCCAUUAUGUUUCUGGUUUCUUAUUCUGUUAAUGUGACCAACAGUGGUUUGUAACACAUACACACAAGAGUCCCCCAUACACAGUCCUUGCUAGGUGACAGAAGGACAAAGCUCUUUGGCCUGAUGUGAUACAGUAACAUGCAUGAGUUGACUUCAUUUUUUGGCCUGGGUUGGUCAAGUGUUACACCAUGUUGAGAAAGACUUUGUACCAUUAGUGGCUUAUUUGCUGCUGGAAAAUCCACAUCUGCUGACAGGAAUAUGAAUGCCAUGGAUUGGUCUGUAAGUUGGUAUUAAGCUUCAGUGGUAAAGGGCAGGAUAUUCUUCCUCCUCUCCCAGUCUGUGAGCGAUGUUGCUGAUCCACAUCCAUUAAUGUUUCUGCUACCAUCCUCCAGCAGUGUGGGAAAACAAAAAACAGACUCUUCAUGUCAACAAGAAAUCUGGAAAAAACACAAAAACAGGGUUUCAUAAUCAAAUAAAUGUUUCUGUCCUUAUACAGCAUAAAGCUGCAGCAAAGAAAAUGAAAUAUAUUUACGAUUCCCCUGCAGUAAACAUACUUGCAGUCUGAAAAACAGUAUCAAGUACACAGGGAUCAUCUACAUGUCACUGUAACUGCACACUGCAAUUGAGAAGCAAACAGCUUUUAGAAGACACUGAGAAAAACUCUAAUUUUAGGCACAGAGAAGUUCACACUGCCGCAUGAUGGAUGCAUAAUAGUGUGCUCCAGACAACCAACCUUAAAAUAUCUGAGACCUUAUUGUGUUAUUGGUGUUUAUAGUUUGUACUGCAGUCAAGCCUAAAAGCCCUAGGGCCUCAAUUGUGCUGUGGAUGGCAUAAACAGAGCAGAAAGACAGUCCUUGUCCCAUCGAUACUGCAAACUAAAUGAAACCUUGUCCAUCACCUUCUCUCCAGCCUUACAGCUCUUUCUACCUUAGAUCUUCAGCACAUAACCUCUCCCAGGUAGGAAUAAUGUGCUUCUAGCAUAUCUGGAUGGCACUGGUUUUUGAGUGGUUGUUGAAUAAACAAAAUGCACUGAGAAGAGCUGUUUGUCUUCUUUUUGAGAAUGGGAUCCAGUGUUUUUUGGGGGAUAUUUACACUAGGAUUGUUUUUUGGAACCCACAGAAAUAUAAAUCGUAAUAACUCACAAAUUUUCCGUGCUGUUGUGUAAUUCCAUUGUAAUUCUCUGGAAUUCUAUUGAAAUUCUUCUCACAGAUGCCUCUGUCCUUUGCUGGAUCUGGCCAAGAAUUGAAUGUGGGAUGAUGAGGAGCCUUAAUAUGACAGAUGAACAUGUCCAUCAACACUAUUGUGAUUCUAAGUAGUCAGAUUCUUUUUCAGUUCCUUUCUCAGAGGCUGUGGCACUGGAUGAACCAACACUGAAGUCAAGCACAGCAGAAAAUUUACUUGCUUCUGCUUCUAUCUGACCAGCAAAAUAACAUUUUCCCAUUAAUUUCCUGCUGUUAUUUUUAAGAAAUUAAAGGUUAGGUAAGAAUCUUAGUGCUAUGGAUUAGUUAGGCUUCUAAAUUUUUCUUUUCUCAGACAGAACCAGCUGAAAACUAGUUGAUAUUAGCUGUUUUUUAGAACACAUUUUGGACUAAAACUGUCUCUGUCUUUUUUCACAACUCUCAGAGCACUCUGGGGCUCUCUUAGCGAGUGAUGUGACAUGCCCACCUUUCCCAGCCUUCCAGGAGCCUGCCCACUUCUGCUUUUCCUCUUGGUCUCCUUCCAGCUGCUCGCUGAGCCUCUUGCCAGACUCACCUGCAAGAAAGCUUCUUCCAGCUGGAAUCUCACAUUAUUACCAUUUCCUGCAGGCCUCAGCUUCACCUUGAAUGUGAGCAUCCCAACAUGAGAAUCGUGGCUGAUUGUGGUCCCACUCUUCAAAGAUGCAGCCAUCCCAGACAUGACAGGAGGAGCCUGGGCUUGCAGAUGGGACAAACACUGCAGGAGCCUGCUGAUGCAAAACUUCUGUUUCUUCAUUACCCCAGAGUCACGCUGAAGGAAACUGUUGGUUCAGGAAGGCUCAUAGACCUCAACUCAAUGCCAUCAUCUCUCAUCCCAAGGGAUGUUACAGCAAAAAGCCACUGGUGCCUGCAUGGUGCAGAUGUUCUGAGUUUGGUAAUUACUCACCAAGAAGAUUAAAGAUCAGGUGGUCACCUCAGUUGCAUCUACUUUAUCACAGCCCUGAAGGCUCUCCCCAAGUCUCAGGAGCAGAGAGAUGCAGUUGGUGUCCUGCAGAUCCAGCUGUCAGUUCCCAGCUUGCAGCAUUGGUGUUCUGAGGUAGGCAGAGACUACAGGAAGGCUAAUUCUCCAUUAAAGAUAUGGUCCUGGGAUGUCUUACUAAGAACCUAAAAAAAAAAUAUCCUGCCUUGAGUGUCCUCUUUCUAAAUCUAACCCAAAGCUUACACUGGUCACCAACUGUGAACUGGAUGCACAUCUGUUUCUCUGGAUUAGCUACAGCCUCCCCCCACCCUAUGUCAGACCUCACAGACCAGCCAGCCCCAUGCCUCCAGCCCAGUCUAUGGGUCCAAACUCAGUUACUAGUGCUGCUCUUAUUUGUGCUGGGCUUAUGCCCCUGCCCACUUAUUUAUUGAAGCAGCCAAUGAGUUGCUCAAACCCACAAGAGAUGGCUCUAUUUCUCUACCCAGCCCCAUCAUGAUCAAUUGUUCCCACCACUUUGCCGUUUCUGCAGAACGUGUGCCAGUUUUAUUUCCAAGAAUGCAACAACGCGAACGUUUUUCAAUUACUCAGAUAGAUUUUUAGCUUGUCAUAGUCUGCCAUUCACUUGAAUUGUGCACCCUCACCCUACCUCAGCUCACUGGUGUGCUGACACGGGCUGUGCGAGGUUGCUCCCCAUUGCAGCACUAAGGAGCAGGAUGCUGUUGCCCUGCCAUGUGUGGCGACGCCGUGCUCCUCUGCAUCUGGUUUCUAAACAAACCCCCUACAACAGACCAAUCUGUUAAACCUUUGAGAGCCUCAUUUCCAGGUUUCAACAACAUUCUCUUCAGAAAUGAGCACUUCAUGGAGUUCAUUUAAGGUUGUCGAAGCCACAAGUUGCUGUCAGCGCUAUUUACCACUUCAGUGGCUCAGCUAAGGCCUCAGCUGCUGCAAGCCAGCUCAGUGCUAAUAGCUGAGCCUUCCUGAUUUACAUCAACCUCUGCCAAGCUGACAGCCAUCCUCCACUGCCUCCCAGUAGCUGUCUGUGUACACAUUUGUUACAGACAGCACAAAAGCAGAUUUUCUCCUGCCACCCCUGUCCAGGUCCUGUGUUUAUACUGGAGCAACCAAACACGGUGGAUGCCCCAUGCUAUGCAGUCAGCUGGGCCCUGCAGCCUGCUCUGUGCAUGCGGUACCUGGGGCUGCCUUUCAGGAUCAAGUCUGGGAUAUUUCCUCCUCAGUCUUGCUUCCUUUAUGGGCUCUUAUCCCUUACCUCACUGCAAGCCCUCAUCUCCUUUGUUUGGUAACUGGACAGAGGGAACAGAACUCCCUUGUCCCAAACAUCACUUUGUAAUUCUCUGCACUUUUCCCAGGCAGAGCAACUCAGCUCAUCUACAGUCAAAAGGCUUUUUACCUAUUUUUAAUGCCAUUCCUACCCCUGCUCCUUUCUGACUCCCCAAAACAUGGCUCUCACAGACCCAAGCCUAAAUGCCCCAAACCUUCUCAAACUCCUUCCAGUUAUACAUUAAAACUACUGACAUCUUUGAUUUCACACCCUCUAUCUCAUUCCACACUUCUGCAACACUCAGUGUAAGCUCCAGAGCCUAUAGAAAACAAACCACCAGCUCCCCCAGCCAAAGGCCCCAAUGGCAUCUGGUCCAUCUGUUCCAUGGCAAACUGGCAGCACAACAAUAACUUCCAGUAAGCUGAGGAGCGGAUGGUUUUAGUGAGUAAAACCACUGCGCCUUCUGUCUUUUAUUUCAAUAGUAAAUUUAAUUUUAUUAUCUUUCCCCCAGUUUGCCACAGGAUUGUGCUGAGGGCCCUCACAACUGAGUUGCAACAUGGGAGGUUUAUCAGCCUUGGAAGUGGGAGGGUCUAAAACACAGUUUGCACCUCCUGCAGAAGCCUGGCUCUUAACAAUGAGCUGGGACUGCAUGCAGUGAGCCCCAGACAUCCUAUUCUGGGAGCUGCUCACAACAUGCUGGCAGUGGCAUGGUACAAAGGGCACUGGGAGCUUGGGGAAAUCAGAAUGGUGGCUCUGGUGAGGUUUCAGGAGCUAUUCUCCAUGCCCUUGCUGGGAGCUGAUUGCUUGCUGGGGAGCAAUUACCAUCCUUACCAUAUUUUCAAAGUAUUUUUACCUUAAAAUUUUACUUUAAAAACCAAAAUCUGAGACUUCUUAUUGCAUGCUUCCAGCAGCUGGAGAAUUAAGACAAGCCUUACAAUGUAGCCUGAAGAACUGGUGAGAGCUGACAACAUAAUAUCACAGUUUGACAAGAAUCAUAGAAUCAUUGAGGUUGGAAAAGACCUCCAAAGUCAUCCAGUCCAACCAUCCAUCUACCACCAAUAUUGCCCACAAAAACCACAUGACACGAAUACUGUAGAAGCAUAGAAUUUUUUGAGUUGGAAGGGACACUUAAAGGUCAUCUUGUCCAUAUCCUGCAUAAGAGGGAGUGAUUCCUCCCAGAAUGUUUGCAAUUCAAGAAAUUUAAUGCUCAGAUCUCAUGUUUUUGUGUUCUCAUGAGAGGAUUUUUAAAGAACAUAUCAGGAUAUUGUGCUCCUGCACUGUUUGUUAAUAGUUUCCUGCCUCCCUUCAGGAAAAAUGAAAUAUUUCUUCUCUGAGCUCUUCGUGCAAUCUUCUGUCAAGUCAAAGCAGAAAGGAAAAACUAUUUACACUAUUUUAUUAGGCCAAAUGUCAAUUUGUUUUUCUGAAAUCUUUACCAAUCUUCCUGGCAUUUAAUAUGCAAACAGAAAUAUAUAUACACACACACAUAUACUAUAUGUAAUAUAAUAGUAUAUUAUAUAAUUCUAUACGAUAUUAUAUAUAUAUAAGUAUAUACAUACAUAUAUAUAUCUUUCAUUUCUUGUGACAGUGCCUGAAAUAUCCAACAGGCUGAUGCACAGAGCUGUAUUUCUUUCAUGUGUAAGAAAUGGAGAGACCAAAUGUGCUAGAGAAGGUGGAUAGCAGCUGGGUAGGAAGGAAAGGCAUGGAAUCACUUUGUUUUUGUGAGUCUUUUUAAUCUGGUUUCAUUAAUCUCUACUGAGCCUUACUAUAGACAGCAUACCUUCCAUUUUACCAGAAUCUUGGUCCUGCCCACAAAAAACAGCCUUUUUCCACAUGGAGAAAAUACUCCAAUUUCUACUCCACUCAGAAAAUCCACCUUGUUUCCAGUUUGGUUCAGCAUUAUUACACCAGGCACAAGGAGCUGCAUCCCAGUGCCUGCCCCUGCCUACCCAGCCCAUGGGGCAAGCUUGGAGCAGCUGGUCCUACUGCUCCGUGCCUGCCCAGGUCAGCCUCUGGUCCACAGGAAAACAUUUCUUAUCUGCCCACUGAGUUUUUCUCUUAAAGAGAGAGGUUUUUUCUCCCAUUUCUGCCUCCCAGGGUCUGUGAAAAGACUCAUAAGCAACACUCUCAGGCAUUUGGUAGAAAGAGAUAUAUUUCAUUCACACAUGAUUUUGACCAGAACAGCUUGUGUAGGGAGAGGCAAUGGCAAAUAACCAGUCCUAAGUUAACCCAAAAAAAGGUGGUGGUCAAAAUCCAGUUAAAGAAAGAAAGAAAGAGUUACUUAUCCACCUCAAGGAUCAGGUCCUGUUCAAUAUUCCAAAGGAAGGGAUCUCCAGGUAGAAAACCUUCCCUUGUGGCAGCCAGCCCUUAAAUGAGGCUUAGAAAAGGGUGGAAUCUGUUUUCACCUGUGCUUACAGGACCGGCUGUGUCCCUUCGCCGAGUGCUCAAUCAUUGGUUCAGGCUGUGACUUAGCAAUUCCCAUAUAGCUUUACAGGUAGUCACCCUUAUAUCCACAAUUACCUAUCAGCAGACUUGUGCCAUGCUGAGAUUACAUUCAAAGCUCAGAGUAUGAACCACGUAUCAAGUUGCAUUCUAUGAGCUGGAACUCUUGUAUUCCUAGUCCCACUAUAUAUAAGCACUGAAAGAAGCCUGUAUUUUACUUAAAAUAUGAUUCAUCCAAUGGCUCAGUGUGUCAGCAGCCUCUUGUAUUCAGUUUUGGGGCCUCAGCCCUUGUCAGGGAUGUGUCUGUAAAAUAUAACUCACCAUAUUAGUAGACUUUGGGCAUCACAUAGGUUUUAUUUACAUUUGUGAUGUUCUCAGAAGAGAGGACUCUACCAAAUUCUCCCUUCAGUUUGGAUAUUAGGAAAAACUUCUUCAAAAGAGUCAUUGGGCACUGGAAAGGGCUGUCCAGGGAGGUGGUGAAGUCACUGUCCCUGGAGGUGAUGUGUAGAUGUGGUACUAAGGGACGUGGUUUAGUGGGCAAUACUGGUGGUAGGUGGAUGAUUGGACUAGGUGGUCUUAGAGAUCUUUUCUAACCUAAAUGAUUCUAUGAUUCUAUAAAUGACCUAUUGGUUGUGGGCUACUGGUAUCAACUGGUCUGAAAGUAAGUUCCUGUUAUCUACAAAUGUAACUACUUUUCCUUUUUCUUAGUCUUUUUGCAUUUGUUAACUUAUCAGAGAGGAAGCAGGAGGUACCUGGCAUUAAGAGACUCACCCAAGGUUGCAGAGUGAGUCAGUCGUGGAGCCCAAAUGAUGUCCUGGAAGUUCCUUUUAUGUAUUUAUUAUUUUCAUCAUAUUCUAUAAUAAAAGUGACUAGGAAGAAGUUUAUGAAUAUUAGCAUUCAUCUGAUGAAUACAAGGCCAAUCGUUCCAUGAAGUGAUGCAGUUGGCUUGAUAACGCUGAAGGAUUCCUAAACCUAUAAAACCCAUGUAUGACCUUCCUCCUGCCUACUGUCUAUUUGAAUGACAGCUGGUGAGAGAUUCCUAGAGACUUUUUCUCUACCAAAAGCUCAGGUGGUGCUCUGCAGCUCCAUCAUGUUAGAUCUUUCCAAACUACUUGGAAAGCACAGGGCAGCAGUGGGAUAUUGCUGCCCAGCCAAAGCCCCUUGGGGCUUCCAUUCCUACGUGUUCUCAGCCUUCUUCCAACUACAGCACUGACUGCUGCUCUGAGUCCAGCAGAAUAGCCUGAUUUUAGAUAUUCUCCUAAGAGUGACCCACAGGACCAACACUCAUUUGAGAAGGAAGGUUUUCUUGAGUGCUAGACGCAAUCUACAUCACUGACACCACAAGUAAUUCCUUUGUAGUAUCACAAAAAUGUGUCCAAUAGGCAAGAUGCUCCUUUCCUGGUGCUCUGCUCUCCUGUAAUGGUUUCACGUAACAGUGCAACUUUCAGCAACGAUCAUUUUGCCCAACUCAGAUCUUUUCCAUCUGCUGUGGUCUGUGCAGGGUGCUUUAAUACCUCGACCCUCUUGGCUAUUAGCCCACUGAGGCUGUCUGUUAGGAUAAAAGAAAAAGGUGAGAUUAUAUUCUCCCCUCCUGGCAUCCCAACACACUUCUAUUUUUCUGUAAUAAUCCUGCUUACGGAAGAUGGAUUUCUAAGGAGAUGUUGUAUGUUAGACAUGGCCAAAAAAAAUUAGCUAUAGGCAAAAAACUGCCCUGAAGAAGAAAAGUAUUGCUUUUAUUGAACUUAAAACCAAACACCCUACUUUGCUCUACUUGUUUUUGAAAAGAAAAGAAAUUCAGUUUGGGGGAAAAAAAAACACCAAAAAACAGCAGUUUCAGCUCAAAUAUUCUUGUUUUCGGCUAAAAAAUUUCUAGAUUCAACCAGAAUAGAGGUAUAUGAUCGUCAAUGAAAUCUCCUGUAUAUGGAUAAGUAAUAAAAGGAUGGCACACGGCUCAAACAGUGUGCAAUCUAAGUGAUAUUUAGGCAUACUUCAAGCCUCAGCUACCACAGAAAUCGAUUUAUGCUCCCUUUUAUCUUUUUUAUUGUAGUUUAUUUCUUAUGUCUUCGGCCCACAGCUAAAGGAUUAUUGCAGAUGGCUCAGGGCAGGGGAAGAAAAGGUGAGGCUCACUGGGCUCUGGCUGUCUCCAUCUAAGAUGAGUUCUUAUGGGAUGCCCCAGUUCCAGGUCAAACUCCAACGGCAGAGGAUGGGACCUCCCGAUCCCAAGGCUGGCACACUGGGAUGUGGUUUUCCUUCUGCCUUCUGCACAGGCGCUGGGCUUGGAUGCACGUUCAGGACAUAAACUUCCCCAGGACCUGGAAACAUGAGUGUGCUGUGUCUGGGUCGGGCCUCUCUCUGUUAAAAACCCACUGUCAUUGCCUUCUGGUAAAUGGUGAUCAACGCAUGUUUUACAAACCACAGGGAACCGCGCAGUUAUCCAGCGCCUUUCACCAGCGGCUCUCAAAGUACCACACAAACAAAUAACCAAGUUUUACAAUAACUUUAUAUUGCAGCUUUUCUAGACAGUGGGAAGCUGACAUCAAAGGGGCUUCCCACCACUGUACAGCAAAACUGCGCAAACUUAGGGGCACAACACAGGAAUCCCGAUUCCAGCUCUGAUUUCAUCUCGCAGGCAAGAUUUGUUAUUUCUCCACUUCCUUCUGGCAAUUGGCCCAAGGUUCCUAUCGCUGCUGGCCAGAGAUAGGAACAAUCAUUCACACCGGCGUACUUUUUAUUCUCUUUAAAAGGAGCACAUAAAAUGAAUCAACUUGAGAGAGCGGAAGAGAUGCAUAGGGAACAAGGGGAGCUCUUUACAAAGUGGCUGGUCGAACACACACCAAAAUCAGCAGAUGUAGCAGGGCAGGGGGAGCAAAGGAAAGCCCUUUCGCUGCUUUUUGGGUGCUGCCCUGAAUUUCUGCCCUGCCGUGGUUGGUUGAGGUCCCAGGCUAAAUAAUUAUCAACAACACCUAUUAAUGAAUAGCACCAGAAGCCCUAGUGAAAAGUCUCAGGUCCCUUACUCACAAUUCUAGUCACUUCCCCAACCUACUUCUAAAAUUAGAAACAAACAGGCCCCUUCUAAAAGCAAUAAACAGCACUUUAAUUGGACUGAAGCCUAUAAAUCUGUCAGCAGCUAGUUACUCCAACUCCAUUGUGAGACCAGCGCCUUUGAAGCCCCUCCCUUGCCUUCCACUGCUGUGCACUGGGAUGCAGUGUGAUGGGGCUGUGAGGUGUAGGGCUGGGGGAUUGCUCCGGCUCGGAUGGACAUCAUGAUAGAGCAGGAGGAGAAGCUCAGGCUGCAGAUGGCUGCUGCAUGUGGUCUGUGAGCACAGCAGCAGAAUCAUAGAGUCAUAGAAUAUCCCAAGUUGGAAGAGACCCAUAAGGAUCAUCGAGUCUAACUGCUGACAUGAGGUGAUGUACUGCACUUAGAAGAUACAUCUCACAUCAGGGCCGUGGGAAAUGCAUAUUAAAAUGCAUUUUGCUUAGCUAAAACUACAUUUUCUUAUUUUUUAUUUUUUUGUCACCAAAGAUUGUUUUAAAGAAAGUCCCACCUGGUUUGAAAUGAUGCCACAUGUUAAUGUCAUAAUGCAGCAGAACCCAGCAAAUGGGUACUAAUCAGUCCAGUUUCCCUUAGAAAGAGGCUGUGUAAAGGGAAAAUAAAUUCAACAGCUGCUAUUUCAGACGUUUCAGCUGUUUCGAAGGGGAAAAGGGAUAGCAGCCUUGUAGCAAAGGGCACUAUCUGCAACUUCAGGAUUUUCUCCAGUUUGGUGCAAACUGACCUGAUUCCUAACAGGGAAUGUGUGAUGUGCAGAGACAUGUCCCAGUUGAGCCACUGAAGUACCUCUGUGUUCAGAUGGUCUGCUGGGCCACACAUGGCCUUCAUGUGUCAUCCAGCAGAAGCGAAACCGCACCAGAGACAAAAGCAGACAGUGGAGAGUGGGGAUAGGACACACAGGUGAGCAUGUUCCUUCCUGCCCCUCCAGUGAGAUUGGGUUCAGGGCAAGAAAUAAAACUGCUCUCUUUAAAAAAGUGCUCAGGAAGAGGGGAAAAAAAGAGAUAUUUUUAGUACUACCUCAAGAACAAAUAAUGAAAACUUGCACAGAGGUGUUAUUGAGUAAAAGAUACAGGAAGAUCACAUUGCAAGAAUAAGAUGAGGUGGCACACAGGCAUCUUAUAGGCAGAGUUCCUGAAACUGUGAGAAUGAUCAUAGAAUCAUAGAAUUGCUUGAGCUGGAAGUAGGAUUUAAAGGCCGCCUGGUCCAACUCUCUUGCUAUGGAUACCUACAGCUCAAUCAGGUGCUCAGUGCCCUGUCCAGAUGGACUCUGAAUGUCUCCAGGGAUGGGGCAUCCACCACCUGUCUGGAAAACCUGUGCCGGUGCUUCACUGCUCUUAUUGUAAAAAAUAUAUAUAUAUAUCCAACCUAAACCUCCUCUUUUUUAGUUUGAAACCAUUUCCCUUUUCCUAUCACAACAGACCCCGCUAAAGAGUCUGUCCCCCUCUUUCUUGUAGCCCACCUUUAGAUACUGACAGGUUGCCCUUAGGUCUCCUCAGAGCCUUCUCUUCUCCAGACUGAACAGCCCCAGCUCUCUCAGCUUGUCCUUGUAGGGAGGUGUUCCAUCCCUUGGGUCAUUUCUGUGGCACUCUUCUGGACCUGUGUGUCCUUCUUGUCCUGUUUCCUCUCUGUUUGGCUCCUGG